CCAACUACUGGGUCGCCUGUAAUUGG
rfam:Gilliamella apicola strain wkB1, complete genome.